UAUGGAAGGGGCGAAGCCUGAUCCAGCCAUGCCGCGUGUGUGAAGAAGGCCUUCGGGUUGUAAAGCACUUUCAGCGAGGAAGAACGCUUGUGGGUUAAUACCCCGCAAGAAAGACAUCACUCGCAGAAGAAGCACCGGCUAACUCCGUGCCAGCAGCCGCGGUAAUACGGAGGGUGCAAGCGUUAAUCGGAAUUACUGGGCGUAAAGCGCGCGUAGGUGGCUAAGUCAGCCAGGUGUGAAAGCCCCGGGCUCAACCUGGGAACGGCAUCUGGAACUGCUUGGCUAGAGUGCAGGAGAGGAAGGUAGAAUUCCCGGUGUAGCGGUGAAAUGCGUAGAGAUCGGGAGGAAUACCAGUGGCGAAGGCGGCCUUCUGGACUGACACUGACACUGAGGUGCGAAAGCGUGGGUAGCAAACAGGAUUAAGAUACCCUGGGUAGUCAAA
rnacentral:rRNA from 1 species